ensembl:ncRNA lncRNA:CR31386 long non-coding RNA:CR31386
AGUUGGAAUUUAGCAGCGAACGCGAUGUGAUCGAAGCGGAACUGAACUACAGCCUUCUUAUCCUGAUAUUACGGAGCCUUCGUCGCUGGAUCGCACCAAGGACCCGGCCAGAAAAUUGCAUUUAGCUCGUGCUUAACUAGAGGCCCACUAACCAAAUUAGUCGAUAAGAAAUGCUUUAGUAAUACUAGCUGUAAUACCAUAUUUGUAUGUAGUUUGGCUCUUAGUUGAUCUAUGUUAUGCUCGUGCUUAUUAUUAUUAUUAUCUAAUUCGUACAUUAAAUAAAAUGCUUUGAGUUUUGCAAUUUUAAUUUACGCUUUUUAAUAUUUGAGCUAAAUGAGAAGGAGUAGCAGCUAUUGGAUCGAAUCAUCAGUAUGUUUCUUAACAGGGUACGCCCGGUUCCAAUGGAUAUCCUGAAAAAUGAACACAAGCGCACACGCACACACCCACAUACACGCAAGCUGGCGAAUAGCCAGGGCGAUAAAGGUUAGAGGGAAGCACUUCAGCUGGAGAGUGAGCCUGGUCGAGAUCCUGAUCCUGGGAUGCCAAUGGGACUGGGACAGAUAGCCACAGAGGAAAAAAGCGCCAACCCAAAAACCAUGAAUAUGCGAUUGUUGUCCGACGAUGUUCGUAGAUGUCAGCCAUAAGAUAUUUCCAUAGACACGCAGGCAGCGAAGGAGCAGGAGGAGCAGGACACCCGUAUAGCAGCAACCACGAUUGAGUUGCUAGCUUCGUCAGACACCAGGCCAGACUUCGAGGGGGAUGAGGACCUAAAGGAUACUGGCUCAGGAUACUCGAAAGUAGGCUGUUACUGCACAAGGGUAUCUCAAGAAAAAAAAAAACAUGAAAGUAUAUGCAAACUUACGGACGGAGCACGAUUUAAAAUAUCACUCAAUCGAAACUUAUUUUCAGAUAAGCUUAAAAAUAAAUGGGAUCAACUACAUAAAUUCAUAUUUUAAAAGAAAUGUUUAGUUUCUAAUAUCAUAUUCACUUAAUUUAAAAAUCUAUUUUCAACAAUGUGUAGUUACCAAGAAUUUUUACUUUCUUAUUUCACUUCAUCAGUAUAAGUUUUAGAGGUUUGUUAAAUGUUGUUCUUAGGCAGCUUCAUUGCGUUUUGCUACAGUAUUAAAUCUUGUUUGGAUGACCUUAUGUAUCACCCUAGCGAUUUCGAUUUGCACCCUUCUCGCUCCAGUCGUCGUAUCGAAGUAACUGCCUACUUCCUCGAUGUCCUCGAAUGCCUCCAGCUGGGCUGGCCCCUCGUCCUUCGCUUCAUAUCCUGUCAGGAGCUGACUUUUUCCUGUUGCCGCUGCUUCCUUCCUUCCUUUCUUCUGGCUCUUAUCUUCGUUUAACUUUCUACCAUGUUAUGGCCCGUUAUCUGUCUGCCCGUGUACGUGUCCUUCGUGUCGGUGUGUGUUCGGUUUCUAUGUGUGUGUGUGUGUGUGUGUGUGCCUCCUCGUCUCUGUUUGCAUUUUUGAGCAAAUCAAGUGAAAUUACAUUUUUCUAUGCGAUGCUCUUAAUGUUAUUUGCAUACGUAUCCUGCAGGCUACAAUAUUUACAAAUGAAUGCAGUCCGGUGCCGUUCGCUUGGUCCUUGGUCCUCGGUCCUUGGGGGCUUGGUCCUUUGGAGAAUCAGACAAGCGGCUGUUGAACCAACCACCUUAACUGCCCAACUUCCCAGCAGACCAACCGCCCAGCCGAACUAACUACGUUUGCGAAAAUUCUUUCAUAUCCUUUUCAACCAUCGUUACGUGCCCUCAAAGUGCCAUUUUGUCACUGGGUCCUUUUUCUGCUACUUCCACUUCUUCUCGCACUCAUUCCGCCAGCUGUCAUUUGCAUUUGCCUUUCCUCCUUCCCACUAACUGGCAUUAAUAUUUGUUUUCGUUUGAUAAUUUUCUUUUGCUGCCUUUUAUACUUUUAAGUGCACGUCCUGCCAUUUCCAGGACCCUUUCUCCCCAUCUCAGCUAUUUUUCCAACUAGUUUCUAUCUGCGUCUCUGUCGCUCGCCUCCUUGCCUUGGCCUCAUCUUAUUGGACUGCAUAGUAAGUGGCAGCAGCCAAGUGAAAAAAGGACGACAAGGACGAUGAAGAAGAGGAAUGCCGGCGAAAAAAAAACCAAGCCACAUUUAAAUGUGCUCCGCCCCUUUUCUAUUUUAAAAAUGCAAAGCAUUUGCUUGGCUUUGCUUUGCUUUGGCCUGCCUCCUGCUUCUGCUCCUGCUUCUUGCCCAGGACCUUCUCUCUUCUUCUUCGCGGUUUCGUCCUGCUGCUGGCUCUUUCUUUUAAUUUAUUUUAUAUCGCUGCCUCCUUUUUCUGCGCGACGACGAAUGCGAAGCCAAAACCGAACGCUUUUGCAAAAAAGAUGGAAACGAAGGACUUGGCUUGAGGUCGCCUUGACUCGCCUUCACCAAUAAGAUUUUCGCUAGGUAACAUUUGAAAAAAGGAUAUCGUGAAAUGGUCGGGCUAUAUAACAGGAGGAGGGAGGUCAACGGGUACUUUUAAUUAAUUGUUGCUAAGCAAUUUUAUGAAAUUCAAUCAGAGUUUUGACUGGGAGUACCUCCCCAAAAGUAAGAUAUUAUAAAAUCGGUUUCUUCACAAUAAAGUAAUAAAGUAAAAAAAAUGACAAAAAUUAAGCAAAUAAAAUGAAUAUAUAAAAUAUUGAUACAAACUUUGUAAACUUAACUAGUUUUAUUCAUAAUUCUUAUUUAUAAUUUCAUUUGGUUAAGGCUUAUUCAUAAAUUAUUUGUGUUAAAAAUUAAAUCUGAUUAAUUCAAU